rnacentral:rRNA from 1 species
UCUGGCUCAGGAUGAACGCUGGCGGCGUGCCUAACACAUGCAAGUCGAACGAAGCACUUGGCUGAUCCCUCGGGUGAUGCCUUGUGACUGAGUGGCGGACGGGUGAGUAACGCGUGGGUAACCUGCCCUGUACAGGGGGAUAACAGUCAGAAAUGACUGCUAAUACCGCAUAAGCGCACGAGAGGACAUCCUCUUGUGUGAAAAAACUCCGGUGGUACAGGAUGGGCCCGCGUCUGAUUAGCUAGUUGGCGGGGUAAAGGCCCACCAAGGCGACGAUCAGUAGCCGGUCUGAGAGGAUGAACGGCCACAUUGGAACUGAGACACGGUCCAAACUCCUACGGGAGGCAGCAGUGGGGAAUAUUGCACAAUGGGGGGAACCCUGAUGCAGCCAACGCCGCGUGAGUGAAGAAGUAUUUCGGUAUGUAAAGCUCUAUCAGCAGGGAAGAUAAUGACGGUACCUGACUAAGAAGCUCCGGCUAAAUACGUGCCAGCCGCUGC